GCCACAGACACAGCCACCACACUAGCUUUGGACACCUCUACCUAGCUCCAUCUGCAACCAUAUGCAUCUCCACCCUCUCCAUUUGGAACCAGAAAACCAUGGCUUCUCCUGCAUGCUCACUACUCAUCCCUACACAGAAAGCUCUAGCUGCUGCUAGUUUCAUUCUAGUAAUGAUACAAAUAUCAAGAGAAAAAGUGAGAGUCAAAUAGAGGUGUGAGGUGAGGAAGAUGCUGCAGGUAGAAGAAGCUGAGAGAAAGAUAUGAUCAAGCAAGCAAGCAAGCAAGCAAAAGUUAUCUAGCUAAAGAGGGAGCCUUUUCAUUUUGAGGGGAAUGUUGUCUGGCUCGGGGCUACUUUUAAUUUCUCUCUCUUUUGAUAUCUUCUUUUCUCGAUCUCCUAGCUUGAUCUUUUGAUCUCUCAAAUCGAUCUUAAGAAAAAGAUCAGUCAAAGAGAUGAGAGUAGAUGUCUGUAGAUCUCGGACCAGGCUUCAUUCCCCCCAAACAGAAGGGCUCCCAUGCAUAUCGAUCAUGAGCUAGCUUAUUACCCCCUGCUUUUGCCUCUUCCAAAUCUGAUGAACUGGGUAAGUUAACUGAAUAUUGCUUAACUAAUCAGCUUUUUGUUUCAUCUGAUGGAUAGAUAGGAGGAGUAGAUCUUGGUGGCAUGAACUGCAUGAGAUGCAGAUUGGUGUAAUGAUGGGGGGAAAGACUGCAUGACUGUACAAUUGCACACUUAUCAGAGCUACUUGGGAUCUCUUCUCUUCUCUUCUCUCUCUGCAAUAAUUAGCCUUUGAUGAGAUGAAGGGUGAUGAGGAAAAGGCUGUCAUCAUUAAAGGCCUUUGUUCCAUGCAGAUCCUAUCCUUCAUGGUUGGAACUAGCUAGUCUGUAUUCAUCAGGUACAAAUACCUUGCUUAAUCUUUCUUCUUUCAUAUGUAUGUUCAUCUGAUCUUUACCUUUGCUUGGGUAUCACAACUCUUAGCUAGCUUGACUGAUCUAAAAAAUGCUUUUUUUUUUAUAGUUUUUGGUGAUCUAUUUUUCAUCUUCGUUUUUCUUCAUGUUCUACCUUGCCUGGUAGGAUAAUGAAACAUGAAGUACAUAUAUCAUGCUCUGUAGUACACUCCGGGAGAAAUAUAUGGAUAUUUACUUCCUGUU
rnacentral:sRNA from 1 species